rnacentral:rRNA from 1 species
UACCAGCUCCUCGAGUGGUCGGGGCGAUUAUUGGGCCUAAAGCAUCCGUAGCCGGUUCCGUAGGUCCUCUGUUAAAUCCAACCGCUUAACGGUUGACAUGCAGAGGAUACCGCGAGACUAGGAGGCGGGAGAGGCGGACGGUACUCCGCGUGUAGGGGUAAAAUCCUUUGAUCCGCGGAAGACCACCAGAUUGCUUGCGGUUAAUGACCACAAGCAUGGUGAAUGGCGAAGGCGGUCCGCCAGAACGCGCUCGACGGUGAGGGAUGAAAGCUGGGGGAGCGAACCGG